UACAGAGGGUGCGAGCGUUAAUCGGAAUUACUGGGCGUAAAGCGCGCGUAGGCGGCUUUGCAAGUCGGGUGUGAAAUCCCCAGGCUUAACCUGGGAACUGCAUUCGAGACUGCAUUGCUAGAGUAUGGGAGAGGGAAGUGGAAUUUCCGGUGUAGCGGUGAAAUGCGUAGAUAUCGGAAGGAACAUCAGUGGCGAAAGCGACUUCCUGGACCAAUACUGACGCUCAUGUGCGAAAGCGUGGGGAGCAAA
rnacentral:rRNA from 1 species